CCUACGGGGGGCAGCAGUGAGGAAUAUUGGUCAAUGGACGAGAGUCUGAACCAGCCAAGUAGCGUGAAGGAUGACUGCCCUAUGGGUUGUAAACUUCUUUUAUAAAGGAAUAAAACGAGGCACGUGUGCCUUUUUGCAUGUACUUUAUGAAUAAGGAUCGGCUAACUCCGUGCCAGCAGCCGCGGUAAUACGGAGGUUCCGAGCGUUAUCCGGAUUUACUGGGUUUAAGGGGAGCGUAGAUGGGUUGUUAAGUCAGUUGUGAAAGUUUGCGGCUCAACCGUAAAAUUGCAAUGGAAACUGGCAGGCUGGAGUACAGUUGAGGUAAGCGGAAUUCGUAGUGUAGCGGUGAAAUGCUUAGAUAUCACGAGGAACCCCAAUGGCGAAGGCGGCUUACUAGACUGUAACUGACAUUGAUGCUCGAAAGUGUGGGUAUCAAACAGGAUUAGAUACCCCAGUAGUC
rnacentral:rRNA from 1 species